GGCUCUUUGUAGAAGAAAGAUAAAGAGUCGAACCUGCCCAGUGAUGAAAUUUAACGGCCGCGGUACCCUGACCGUGCAAAGGUAGCAUAAUCAUUUGCCUUUUAAUUGAAGGCUAGUAUGAAGGGUUUGACGAAGACAAAGCUGUCUCCUAUCUGCUAUUUAAAAAUUAAUUUUGAUGUGAAGAAGCAUUAAUAAAUCUAAAAGACAAGAAGACCCUAUUGAGCUUUAAUGAAUAGAGAGAGUAAAAAUAUGAAUCAAAAUUUUAUUGUUUUCUUAUUUAUUUUAGUUGGGGCGACUGAGGAACAAUAAAGCUUCCUUUUAAAAAUAAAAUAUAUCUAUAUUGAUCCAAACAUAUUGAUUAGAAAAAUUAGUUACCAUAGGGAUAACAGCGUAAUCCUUUUUGAGAGUUCUUAUCGAAAAAAGGGCUUGCGACCUCGAUGUUGGAUUAAGAUUCCCAAUUGGUGUAGAAGCUUUUUUGGUUGGUCUGUUCGACCAUUAAAAUCUUACA
rnacentral:rRNA from 1 species